rnacentral:rRNA from 1 species
GUGUCAGCAGCCGCGGUAAAACCAGCACCUCAAGUGGUCAGGAUGAUUAUUGGGCCUAAAGCAUCCGUAGCCUGCUCUGUAAGUUUUCGGUUAAAUCUGUACGCUUAACGUACAGGCUGCCGGAAAUACUGCAGAGCUAGGGAGUGGGAGAGGUAGACGGUACUCGGGAGGAAGUGGUAAAAUGCUUUGAUCUCUCGAUGACCACCUGUGGCGAAGGCGGUCUACCAGAACACGUCCGACGGUGAGGGAUGAAAGCUGGGGGAGCAAACCGGAUUAGAUACCCGGGUAGUCCCAGCUGUAAACUAUGCAAACUCAGUGAUGCAUUGGCUUGUGGCCAAUGCAGUGCUGCAGGGAAGCCGUUAAGUUUGCCGCCUGGGAAGUACGUACGCAAGUAUGAAACUUAAAGGAAUUGGCGGGGGAGCACCACAAGGGGUGAAGCCUGCGGUUCAAUUGGAGUCAACGCCAGAAAUCUUACCCGGAGAGACAGCAGAAUGAAGGUCAAGCUGAAGACUUUACCAGACAAGCUGAGAGGUGGUGCAUGGCCGUCGCCAGCUCGUGCCGUGAGAUGUCCUGUUAAGUCAGGUAACGAGCGAGAUCCCUGCCUCUAGUUGCCACCAUUACUCUCAGGAGUAGUGGGGCGAAUUAGCGGGACCGCCGCAGUUAAUGCGGAGGAAGGAAGGGGCCACGGCAGGUCAGUAUGCCCCGAAACUCUGGGGCCACACGCGGGCUGCAAUGGUAAUGACAAUUGGUUCCGAAUCCGAAAGGAGGAGGUAAUCCUCAAACAUUACCACAGUUAUGACUGAGGGCUGCAACUCGCCCUCACGAAUAUGGAAUCCCUAGUAACUGCGUGUCAUUAUCGCGCGGUGAAUACGUCCCUGCUCCUUGCACACACCGCCCGUC